CGGUGACGCCAGUUAUCGUGGAGUCGUUGUUGAAAUACCACUCUGAUCGAAUUGGACCUCUAACCUCGGACCAUGAUCUGGUUCAGGGACAGUGCCUGGUGGGUAGUUUAACUGGGGCGGUUGCCUCCCAAAAUGUAACGGAGGCGCCCAAAGGUUCCCUCAGCCUGGUUGGCAAUCAGGUGUCGAGUGCAAGUGCACAAGGGAGCUUGACUGUGAGACUGACAGGUCGAGCAGGGACGAAAGUCGGGACUAGUGAUCCGGCACCGGCAAGUGGAAGCGGUGUCGCUCAACGGAUAAAAGGUACCCCGGGGAUAACAGGCUGAUCUUCCCCAAGAGUCCAUAUCGACGGGAUGGUUUGGCACCUCGAUGUCGGCUCGUCGCAUCCUGGGGCUGGAGUAGGUCCCAAGGGUUGGGCUGUUCGCCCAUUAAAGCGGCACGCGAGCUGGGUUUAGAACGUCGUGAGACAGUUCGGUCUCUAUCCGCCGCGCGCGUUAGAAACUUGAGGAAGGCUGUCCCUAGUACGAGAGGACCGGGACGGACGAACCUCUGGUGUGCCAGUUGUUCCGCCAGGAGCACCGCUGGUUAGCUACGUUCGGAAGGGAUAACCGCUGAAAGCAUCUAAGCGGGAAGCCUGUUCCAAGAUGAGGUUUCUCACCCCCUCGAGGGGGUAAGGCCCCCGGCAGACCACCGGGUUGAUAGGCCAGAACUGGAAGUGCAGUAAUGCAUGCAGGUGACUGGUACUAAUAGGCCGAGGACUUACCACAA
rnacentral:rRNA from 1 species